ACCUGCCUAGCUCAAUCAGAUAGAGCAUUAGACUCUUACAUUUCUGAACAGGCGGGAUCUGAAGGCUGCGAGUUUGACCCUUGCGGUGGGCU